UCCGUAGGCGGGCAAUUAAGUCAGAGGUGAAAUCCCACAGCUCAACUGUGGAACUGCCUUUGAUACCGGUUGUCUUGAGUUAUAGUGAAGUAGAUAGAAUAUGUAGUGUAGCGGUGAAAUGCAUAGAUAUUACAUAGAAUACCGAUUGCGAAGGCAGUCUACUAACUGUAUACUGACGCUAAUGGACGAAAGCGUGGGGAGCGAACAGGAUUAGAUACCCUGGUAGUCC
rnacentral:rRNA from 1 species